GGAGAACGUGCCCUUAGGCGGAGGAUAAUCUCGGGAAAUUGAGGAUAAUACUCCAUAGGUCACGGGGUCUGGAACGACCCGUGGCCGAAAGCCCCGGCGCCUAAGGAUCGCUCUGCGGCUUAUCAGGUCGUAGUGGGUGUAACGUACCCCCUAGCCGACGACGAGUAUGGGCCUUGAGAGAGGGAGCCCAGAGUUGGAUUCUGAGACACGAAUCCAGGCCCUACGGGGCGCAGCAGUCGCGAAAACUUCACACUGGGGGCAACCCCGAUGAGGGAAUUCCUAGUGCCAGGGCCUCUGGUCCUGGCUUUUCUCCGGCGUAGACGACCGGAGGAAUAAGGGCUGGGUAAGACGGGUGCCAGCCGCCGCGGUAAUACCUGCAGCCCGAGUGGUGGUCGAUUUUAUUGAGUCUAAAACGUUCGUAGCCGGCCCGGUAAAUCCCUGGGUAAAUCGGGAAGCUCAACUUCCCGAAUUCCGGGGAGACUGCCGGGCUUGGGACCGGGAGAGGCUAGAGGUACUUCUGGGGUAGGGGUAAAAUCCUGUAAUCCUGGAAGGACCACCGGUGGCGAAGGCGUCUAGCUAGAACGGAUCCGACGGUGAGGGACGAAGCCCUGGGUCGCAAACGGGAUUAGAUACCCCGGUAGUCCAGGGUGUAAACGCUGCAGACUUGGUGUUGGGGGCCCUUCGGGGGCGUCCAGUGCCGGAGAGAAGUUGUUAAGUCUGCUACUUGGGGAGUACGUCCGCAAGGAUGAAACUUAA
rnacentral:rRNA from 1 species